rnacentral:lncRNA from 1 species
UUAAAUGCAAUGUAUGUGAUAAAAAGUUGAAUCAUAGUACUUGUGUAGUUGUUUAGUUUCCUUUCUUUCACUCAUGGCUAUUGCUUACCCUCGUGUAAGCCGUAUUUGUAUGUUUCCGCUAGUGCUUUUCUCUACUUGAAAAUGUACAGGUGGUGAGGCUUUGGCGGACAGGAGAAACUCUGUCCGUUCGGCGUUUGCUUGACGUGCCUGGGCCGGCCCAAAUUGGUAUCGUUCCCGGGGCGUGACAGAUAUUAUGGUAUCAGAACCUAGAGUUAAAGAAUAGGAAUGGACCUAGAGACCCUUAGGAUUAGAAGACCUUAAGGAUCUAGGAAACGUGAGUGACUUGGAAUCAAAGUUAGCGAAAGUAUAUGAUUGUGUCAAGUUCGGAUGUCUCUAAUGUGAUUAGAGGCUAAGUUUGAAUUGAUGUUCGUUUCCUACUCCUUGUUUUGUGUCGGGCGGCCGACGACAUAAUGCUUGGAGCGAGAACGAAUGCAUAAGUUGCUUUCGCCAAAUUCGGUAUGGUCAAGUAAUGUUGGUCAUGUAGCUAAUGCGAGUUGCUUCUUUUCAGGAAGCAAUGGCGCCUCGUCGUCGACCGCAGACAAGGUCGAUGCCUGAGGACCCGAAUGCAGCGCCCGAGCAAUCCGGAGCGAGUGGCGACGGAGAGCUUAGGGAGCAGAGUCAACGGCUCUAGGAGGUUUUGGAGCGUCAGCAAGCCGCCAGGUUGGUGUCGAGCAUGUCGCGCCCCCUGUGGUAGUGCCGAGCGUAACGAGGGAGCGGUGGCAGCAGCGGUUGUGCCAGUUACGGCAAUACCGGCCGGAUCAGGAACCUCAAAUCCCGAUAGUUCGGCAGCAGAUGCAAAGCGAGAGCGCAUGUUGGCGGCGCUUAUCCAGUUUCAGAAAUUCAACCCACUUGUCUUUGAAGGUGGCAUGGUGGAGCUAGCGGUUGUGGAGUCGUGGAUCGACUCGAUGGAAACGCUCUUCGAGGACCUAAAUACCUCGGAGAAGGACAAAGUGUACCUCGCCACCCAUUGUCUAGAGAAGGCGGCGAAGGUGUGGUGGAAACAAGUUAAGCGGGAUCGACUUGCCGAUCUUCCACUUAUGCUUUGGGAGGAGUUCAAGAGAGCGGUAUUCGCGAACUACUUCCCCUACACGGUGAAGCGGAGGUGGCAAGAAAAGUUCCGCAAGUUGCGACAGGGCGAUCGAUCGGUGGGGGAGUAUGAGCAAGAAUUCUCCUACAUUAUCGACUGCGUUCUCGAUGUUGUUUGAGAUGAUCGGGAUCGAGCUGAUUGGUUCUUACGAGGACUCCAGCCGAGGAUAUAUGAGAAUGUGCAGAUCUUGAAGCUAACGACCUUUGCGGAGGUCUUUGAUAGAGCCUUAUGGGCAGAGCACGGUAGCGCCCACGUUCGAGAGGAACGGGAGGCUAUGGCCGAGAGCAAGGACAAAGGCAAGAAGCGAACGGCGGGCGGUGCCGGGGGCCGGCCAAAUGCUAAGAAACCCCCUCGGUAUCCCCGAUAGCAGUCGAGGAAUUGGAGACCACCUCAAUGCAUCGUCUGUGGCGGAGAACACCGAGUGUCGAUGUGCCCGCAAGGCGGUGACAAAUGCUUUAAGUGUGGCCAACCGGGACAUCGCAUACGGGAGUGCCCGAUGUGGACAUCGUCUGCACCGGCGGCGGCAUCCUCACCGUCUACCCUGAGACAGCUUGCGGGGUUACCACCAGCGAUGUCGGCUGGGCGCGCGUCAUCACCGCGUCAGCCGAAGGGAUCAAGAGCGCCUAGCGGCUGAGUCUUUGCCGCUCAGGUGGAGGAGCAACAGCCUGCAGCACCCGACGACGUCGUGACAGGUAUAAUUGUGAUUAAAGGCAUUAGAGCUAGAGCAGUGUUUGAUACAGGCGCAUCUCAUUCAUUCAUUAGCGCAUCAUUUGCUCAAACUCAUGGCAUAGAGAUGGCAUAUAACGAGGACUACUGGUGGGUGAACGCCCCAGAACAUUCAUUAAGUAUCCACAAUGAGUGUUUGGCGUGUCCAGUGCAAAUAGGCGAUUGGAUUAUGCCGAUAGAUCUGCUAGUGCUAGAUCAGAUGUGGAGAUUUGAUGUUAUCUUGGGGACCAACUGGCUCUCCAAGUACUAUGCAGUUAUAGAUUGUGAAAGCAAGGUGAUCACUUUUCGUGAGCCUAAUCAAGAAGAAUUGGUGUACCAAGCGUGCAAAAGUAGGCGCUUCGCGGCGACCAUAUUGUCUGUAAGGGCGAAGAAGAUGAUCAAAGGAGGGUGUAAAGCCUAUUUGGCAACCAUGGUAGAUGCUCGAAAGGAGUACCCAGAGUUGGGGGAUAUUCGAGUAGUGUGCGAGUACCCGGAUGUAUUUCCGGCGGAGUUACCGGGAUUGCCACUGGACCGGGAGGUCGAGUUCGUUAUCGACUUGAUUCCCGGAGCGGAACCAGUUUCGAAGGCUCCGUAUAGAAUGGCACCGGUGGAGCUAAAGGAGUUGAAAGCACAACUACAAGACUUGCUCGAUAAAGGCUUCGUGAGGCCGAGCGUGUCACCGUGGGGAGCUCCGGUGCUAUUUGUGAAGAAAAAGGAUGGUACACUUCGACUCUGCGUAGACUAUCACGAGUUGAACAAAGUAACGAUUAAGAACAAGUACCCAUUGCCAAGGAUUGACGAUUUAUUCGAUCAGUUGCAAGGGUCCAAGGUGCAUUCGAAGAUUGAUCUCCAAUCGGGGUAUCAUCAUGUCACGCCCCAAUCUCCGCCUAUUUGGUCGGGUUCGGGCCACGUCAACAGACGCCGAACGGACAGAGCCUCCCCUGUCCGCCCAAGGCUCAAACAACAUGUAUAAAUAGGCAAUCAACAAGAGAUUUGCAUAUGUAAUACAAGGCUUGCACGAGGGCAAGCAACAAUGAAAGCGAAAGCUCUACGCUAAUUAAGCAACAUACAUGAUAUUUGAUUAGCAUUUAAACCAAAUUCAAGUAAAUCUAUUACAUUCUAGCAUCAUAUCUUUUUACAUUUAGUCAUCCACCAAAUACAUGAUUGUUUACACUUUUCAUUCCUAAAUCAACAAAAUAAAGUUGAUACAUGUAUAACAAAAGNGAAGAAGAAGAAAAGGAGAAAGAAGGUGAAGAAGAAGCUAAGGAGUGAAGCUAUCUCCUCUUCUUCCCCUUUGGAGCAAGCUUAGAGGUAAGCCUUGCCCCUUUUCAUGGUAAAUCCCAAACUAGGGUUUGGGUAAGCCUAGAAUUGGUUUUUAUAGAACCUUUAGAGUAUUUGAAGCUUUCUUUUGCUUCUUAUAGAGAUCAACACCAUGAGUUGGGUGUGUGUGAUGAAGCUUAGAGGUGAGCUUCACCCCUCUCAUGGUAGAAUCCAAACUAGGGUUUGAAUUAAGCCAAGGUGGUUUUUGUGGAGUCUUUAGAGUGGAAUGAAGCUUCUUUUGCUUCCCAAUGAGAUCAACCCCUAGGUUUGAUAUAUGCUAUUGAGCUAGGGCACCCAAAUUGGGGUUUUUGCUUGCGAGGGUUCCAAAGUGAAAUUGACCCUCUAGAAACCUAAUUGGGGGUAUUUCCGACGCAUUGGUGUGCUCGGAUUAACGUUACGAAAAGCCAAUGUAAAGAUAUGAGCAAAAUGGCCUAAUAGGGCUUCGUUUUGCCGCAGGUGACAAACUAAGGAGCCCAAGAAAAUCACCGGAGCACCUAAGUCUACAAGGUGGGUGGUGCUUUCCAAACUCGUUGAACUUCCUUCUAUGCCUAAUGUGUCAUUCAAUUGAGCAUAUGUUAUAUAUAUUGUUGCAUGCAUUGUAGGGUAAAUGUGAUGAGAGUAAUGUGAUGUUGCAUAUUGUGAGUACAAUUUGCCUAAUGAGAUGGUUGAGAACUCCUAUGAAUUUUUAACCCUAUGUAUGCAUGAGAUAAAAUGUGAGCACCAAAGUGAGGCAAAAGAACAGAGUGACACAAUGAGACAUAGAUCGAAUGGCAUUCGAUAAUGUAAAGUAAAGUGACACUAGAGUUAGUGUGAGGCAAGAAUCAAUGUGAUGUAAAGAGUAAUGACAAUGACUAAAGUUAAUGUAAUGUGGGGCAUAAAGAACAUGCAAAGAGUAAAGCACACGAUUGCUAGAGAUAGCCAAAAGUAAAGAAAUGUAAAGAACCAUGAUUGCUAGAGUAGCAACAUAAAGUGAUGAAAAGAAUACUAGAGUUAGUGUAAUGACAUGAUUGAACCUAUAAUCCUUAGAGUUAAGGAUUCGAUCAUACUUGCUAUGAGUUCCGUGCUCGAGGGUGGUCGCUCCCCCUAGAGCGAUGCGCUCCGGAGUUUUUGCAUCACGGGUUGGAGUAAACCCGAGGACGGUCUUAGCGGGAGGAAGCUGAGGGCCCGCGAUGAUGGACUUAAUGUGGGCAAGUUAAUGUGGCGAAACCCCCGAAUUAGCCUUGAGAUUAAAGAACAUGAACAAAGAACAAAGCAUAAAGAAUAAAGAGUAAAGAACAAAGAACUUGCAUAAUCUGCAUGAGUUUUAUGUUGAGCAUACUUCUUGCUUUAUUGUUCAAGCAUAUUAGCAUCAUGUUAUAGAUUGGUUACUAUAUUCAGCUUAUCCUUUCUAUUAUGCCUGAGUUAGUCCUAGUGGAAAAGUCGGUGAUGUUGGGGCCGAACCCACUAGAAACUUUGUUGUAGUUCUCACCCCACUAUUCCACAGAGCCGGGACCGAGCGAGCCGGCGAGCGACCGCGGUAUAGGUAUCGCACCUUAGUCAGAGGCCACCCGAGUUGGGUUAUUUACAUUUUGUAGUAGCAUUCCCUUUUAUCAUCUUUUGUAUGUGAUGAUUUCAGAUGUUAAAGUAUAAGGCAAAGAAAGAAAAGAAUGUAAUGUUUAUUUGGAGCAAAUGUGAUGUAAAAAGAAAUGAUGAAAAGUAUGUAAAGAACUAUGAAUGCAGUGUAUAUGAUCUAAAUUGAAUCAUAGUACAAAUUGAAUGUUAGUUUCCUUUCUCUCACUCAUGGCUAUUGCUUACCCUCGUGUAAGCCGUUUGUGUAUGUUUCCGCUAGUGCACUUUUGUUUGAAAAUUGUACAUGUGAUGAGCCUUGGGCGGACAGGGGAAGCUCUGUCCGCUCGGCGUCUGUUUGACGUGCUCACACCAGUCCAAAUUGGUAUCGGUCCCGGGGCGUGACAGAUAUCAUGGUAUCAGAGCCAAGAGUGAAGGAAUAGGAAUAGACCUAGAGACCCUUAGGAUUGGAAGACCUUAAUGAUCUAGGAAACGUGAGUGACGUGGAAUUAAAGUUAGCAAAAGCAUGUGAUUGGGUUAAGUUGGGACGUCUCUAAUGUGAUUAGAGGCUAAGUUUAAAUUGACGUUUGUUCUCUAUUCCUCAUGUUGUGUCGGGCGGUCGACGACAUGAUGCAGGGGGCAAGGACAAAUGUGUGUUUGCUUUCGCCAGAUUCGGUAUGGUUAAGUAAUGUUGGUUAUGUAGCUUACGCGGGUUGCUUCUUUUCAGGAAGCAAUGGCACCUCGUCGUCGACAGCAGACAAGGUCGAUGCCGAAGGAGCCGAAUGCAGAGCCCGAGCGAUCCGGAGCGAGUGGCGACGGAGAGCUUAGGGAUCAAGUGGCUGCACUCAUUGGAGUAGUGCGGCAGCAAGAGGAGUCUGUUCAACGCUAAGGGGAGCAGAUUCAGUGGCUCUAGGAGGCCUUGGAGCGUCAGCAGGCGGCGGCCCAGGCGGGUGUCGAGCAUGUCGUGCCCCUGCGGUAGUGCCGAGUGUAGACGAGGGAGCGGCGGCAGCAGCGGCUGUCCCAGUUACGGUAGUACCGGCCAGAUCGGGAACCUCAAAUCCCGAUAGCGCGGCGGUAGAAGCUGAGCGAGAGCGCACGUUGGCGGCUCUCAUUCAGUUCAAGAAGUUCAACCCACCUACCUUCGAGGGCGGUUUGGUGGAGCCGGCGGUCGUGGAGUCGUGGAUCGACUCAAUGGAGACGCUCUUCAAGGAUCUCAAUACCUCGGAGAAGGACAAAGUGUACCUCGCCACCCAUUGUCUAGAGAAGGCGGCGAUGGUGUGGUGGAAGCAAGUUAAGCGGGAUCGACCUACUGAUCUUCCGCUUAUGCUGUGGGAGGAGUUCAAGAGAGCGGUCUUCGCGAACUACUUCCCCAAUACGGUAAAGCGGAGGUUGCAAGAAAAGUUCCGCAAGUUGAGACAAGGCGAUCGAUCGGUGGGAGAGUACGAGCACGAAUUCUUUCACAUCAUUGACUGUGUUCCCGAUGUUGUUAGAGAUGAUCGGGACCGGGCUGAUUGGUUCUUGCGAGGACUCCAGCCUAGGAUAUAUGAAAAGGUGCAGAUUCUGAAGCUGACGACCUUUGCGGAGGUCUUCGAUAGAGCUUUGUGGGCGGAGCACGGUAGCGCCCAUGUACGUGAAGAAAGGGAGGCUGUGGCCGAAAGCAAAGAAAAAGGCAAGAAGCGAACGGCGGGCGGUGCCGGGGGCCGGCCAAAUGCCCCCCUCGGUAUCCCCGACGGCAGUCGAGGAACUGGAGACCUCCUCGAUGCGUCAUUUGUGGGUGUCGACUUGCCCGCAGCGCGACGGCAAGUGUUUCAAGUGUGGCCAACCGGGACAUCUUAUCCGGGAGUGCCCGACAUGGACGUCGUCUGCGCCGACGGCGGCGUCAGCACCGUCUACCCCGAGACAGCUUGCGAGGUUGCCACCGGCGAUGUCGGCUGGGCGCGCGUCAUCACUGCGUCAGCCGGAGGGAUCGAGAGCGCCUAGCGGUCGAGUCUUUGCCGCUCAAGUGGAGGAGCAGCAACCUGCAGCACCAGACGACGUCGUGGCAGGUAUAAUUGUGAUUAAAGGCACUAGAGCUAGAGCAGUGUUUUGAGGGAGCCCAAGGAUCUAUCUAGAUUGCAUCUAACGCCUAGAGGGGGGUGAAUAGGUGUAAUGGCCAAAAACCAUAAAUCUCAAUGCAAUAAAAAUAAAUGCGAAAAAUAAAAAUCACACCGAGAUUUACGUGGAAAAACUCCAACUUGGAGUAAAAAAACCCACAGGACCAACACGCGAUAACAAUCCACUAAGAAUAAAAGAUUACAAGGUGAUUUACCGAAUCCACGGACUCAAAUCUCUCUUUUAUCUUCUCCGGAUCUCGUGCACACUAACGGGUUGUCCACGUCCCACGUCCGAAUCCGCGAACGCCACGCCCUGAAUCCACGAAACGUCCACACUUCGAAUCCACGAAGCCUUGAUCACGCCGAAUCCACGACGCCCACUCGAAUCCACGAGCACACUCCGUCCGGAGCAAGAACAAUACGAUCGAUGAUGAUUUAUUGCUUAGAUAAUCAUGAAAGAGCCGUAGAAGAUAUUUCUAAGCAAUAGCUGGAUCAAUUCUCUAUGAAGAAUAAGAAAUUAAGGUUUCAAGAAUUGAUCCAAUAGAAACUUGUUGUUCGAGAAAGAAAGAGAGCACCCAACAAGUUUCUAGGGUUUUUUAAAAAGAUAUUCUAUGCCUAGCCAUUCUUUAGAAACACCUCUACAUCUUAUUUAUAGGUUUAGAAGACUUAGAGAUAGACUAGGAUUUGAAUACCUGAUUUUUAGUAACAAAAAUCGGUCUCAGUGUCCGGUCCUUUCGAAGGGUCCGGUCCCCCGAGGACCGGUCCUCCAAGCCAGGGACCGGUCCCUCGUUGCGUAGCAGAAAACACAUGCCACGGGAACUGGUCUCUCAUCUCAGGGUGUAACACACUGGACCUAUGCAAAUUGCGAGGUUCGAGUGUUUUAUUUGGGUUCCGAGCUUUUCCACACUUUGUGGACGAUCGUAGACGGUGUUUCGACCUGCGGUUCGAAUUCCUGGAUUUUGGCUAAGUCUUGAGAGUUUUACUCUCGGGGACCAGUCCCUGGUGGGAGAGACCAGUCCCCCAUCGCGUGGUUGCGGCUGUCGAUCGAGGCAACCGGUCCCUCAGCCAGAGAGACCGGCUCCCGAACGUGUGUUUUGCGGGAGGGUCCGAGAGACCGGUCCUAGGUGCGGGGAGACCGGUCCCUCCACCCGAAAACUGCCAAGUCAGGGCAGUGCACAGGUUACAAAGUUGAGGGACUUUUCUGGAUUUUGUUACAUUAGAGUGCUUUUAGGGCUUUUUCUCUCUCUCUUUCCUUCACUUCUCACUCUCUCACACUCUCUAGAAAGAGAAGAAGAAGGAGAAGGAAGGAGGAGAAGAAGGAGGAAAAGAAGGAGAGCAAGCUUGGAGGAGCUUUGGACUUUCCCCACACCCUCUCUUCUCACCUUUGGAGGCUUGGAGCUUGUUGUUGGAGCUUUGUGGAGGAUCAACCUUGAACCCUAGAUCAUUUUGAGCUUGGUUUGGGGCUACCAAGGAGGUUAGUAUACUUAAUCUACUCUUUAGAGCAUGUUUUGGUAGGUUUUACCAAAUGAAACCCUAAAUUUGGGUUAUAUGGUUAGAAUUGGGAAUUUUUGAUUUGAGGGCUUUGGAACCUAAUUGAUUGGUUUAGAAUCUUGUUAUAGGUUGCUUUGGAAGGGGUUUGGUUUCCAUUUGGAAUUUCUUAGAGGAUUCCUACGCUAUAGGUGAGUUUUCUCCACCUUAGCUAGAGUUGGUUAAUGUUUGAGCUUUGGAAUGUUCGUAAGGUUCGUUUAACUCUUAUUCCUACAUCUUUAGGGUGCUAGGAGACUAGUUGGCACCUUCGUCGGAGCAAACAAAGGGUCACAAGAGUUGUGGUGGGUUUGACUUUAUGAAAUCGGGGCAAAACGGCCCCUAUGUAUUCUAUACUUGUCGUAACGUCAAUUUGAUUGCAUAUUCAUGCUAAAUGGGAUUUAUGUGAAUUUUAGAACACUUAAAAUGUAUGUGUUAUAUGUAAGAUAAAUUUUACUCUAUAUAGUAGAGCAUUCUGGGUAUUAUACAUGCAUGUGAGAAGUGUUCAUGGUAGCAAAUUGGAGACUUGUCUCGUAUGUUUAAAAUAGCUCAAAUUAUGCAUUUGUGAAUAUUUGAUUUAAGCUUUAACUUAGUGAAUAAAAAUGCCAUUAAGGGGCACUUGAUUUAGUAGACUAUGAAACUGCUACAAUGAGACAUAGUGAUAGGCCAUUGACAUCUAUUACUUUCCAUGUUUUAGACAUGAUGCUAUAGAGAUAGGCCAUUGAGACAUUCGAUAUACAUAUUCCAUAUUUUUAGACAUGAGGACUCGGUACUUGAGACGGAUCUUACGCUUGCUGCCAUUAUGCUCAUUCGCACACGUAUGUGAGGGUCGCUCCCAACAAGCNGAGAUGUGGUAUGUUACACAUCAACUAAAGAUUAGGCUGAAGGAUGUGCACAAGACAGCGUACUUACCGUACGCGGUAUGGCCAUUAUGAGUUCACGGUAAUGCCGUUUGGGCUUACUAAGGGCCCGGCAGCAUUUAUGGACUUGAUGAAUCGAGUCUUUAGGCCGUUGUUGGAUCGAUGCGUCGUGGUGUUUAUAGACGACGUAUUGGUUUACUCAAAGAGUGAGGAAGAGCAUGAGGAGCAUUUGAGAGCUGUGCUACAAAUACUCCGAUAAGAGAAGCUUUAUGCAAAGUUGAAGAAAUGUGACUUUUGGUUGAAGGAGGUCACAUUCUUGGGCCAUGUGGUAUCGGGCGACGAAGUUUCGGUAGAUCCGAAGAAAGUAGAGGCAAUAAAGGAUUGGCCUCGCCCGACGAAUGUAGCGGAGGUCCGUAGUUUUCUCGGACUCGCGGGCUAUUACCGGCGGGUCGUGGAGGGGUUCGCCAAAAUAACCACUCCACUAACGCGCCUUACUCAUAAAGGAGUAAAGUACGUGUGGAGCGAUGAUUGCGAUCGAAGCUUCGAAGAGUUGAAGAACAGGUUGACGUCGACCCCAAUGCUUUGCCUUACCGACCCCGGGGGAGACCUUUGUAGUGUACAGUGAUGCCUCUUAUGUUGGUCUCGGGUGUGUACUAAUGCAAAAUGGGCGAGUCAUUGCAUAUGCAUCGCGCCAAUUAAAGAGUUAUGAGAAAAACUACCCGAUUCAUGACCUCGAGUUAGCUGCGGUGAUUUUCGCGCUAAAGCUCUGGAGGCAUUACCUAUAUGGUGAACAUUGUGAGAUAUACACCGAUCACAAGAGUCUUAAGUACUUGUUCACCCAAAAGGAAUUGAACAUGCGACAGCGGCAGUGGUUAGAGUUGCUAAAGGACUAUGAUGUCACUAUACUAUACCACCCCGGAAAAGCCAAUGUCGUGGCCGAUGCUCUAAGUAGAAAAUCGGCGGAUAACCUAGCGACGGCAAUUACGCCUCAACCGCUAUUGCAAAAGGAGAUGCAACGACUUGGGUUGGAAGUGGUAGCACCGGGAGUGCCGGCUACACUUGCCGCAUUAGUUGUGCAACCGACCCUAUUGGAAAGGAUCAAGGAACUACAAGCUUCGGACCCUUACCUUCAAAAAGUACGAAGUGAAGUUGAGAACGGUAGUGCCGAGGAUUUUGGCAUUGGAGCCGAUGGCGCACUUCGAUUUCGAAAUCGAUGGUGUGUGCCUAAAGAUAAUAACGUUCGAAGGACGAUCAUGCAAGAAGCGCAUCAAUCUCCCUAUAGUAUACACCCCGGCGGCACUAAAAUGUAUCAAGAUUUAAAAGUGCAUUAUUGGUGGCCGGGCAUGAAGAAAGAUAUUCGGAAAUUCGUGGCGCAGUGCCUUACGUGCAAGCAAGUUAAAGCGGAGCACCGAUUUCCGGCGGGAAAGCUACAAAGUCUAUCAAUACCUAUAUGAAAAUGGGAAGAUAUAGCGAUGGACUUCAUUACCGGUUUGCCUCAAUCUCAAGACGGACACGACGUGAUAUGGGUGAUAGUGGAUCGAUUGACAAAGUCGGUACACUUCUUGCCGAUACAUACUACGUGGUCGGGAGAUAAGUUAGUUCAGGUUUAUCUCGACGAGGUUGUGAGACUUCAUGGGGUUCCGGUAUCAAUUGUAUCGGAUCGAGACCCCAGAUUCACAUCCCACUUUUGGAAGAGCUUGCAGGACGCGCUAGGCACACGGCUCGACUUUAGCACAGUGUUUCAUCCUCAGAGUGAUGGACAGUCGGAGUGGACUAUACAGAUCCUCGAGGACUUGCUUCGAGCGUGUGUGCUAGAUUACAAGAGAGGAUGGCAUGAUUUCUUACCGAUGGCGGAAUUCGCAUAUAAUAACAGUUAUCAAGAGAGCAUAGCAAUGGCACCAUUUGAGGCACUAUAUGGUCGAAAGUGUCGUUCUCCUAUUCAUUGGAGCGACGUGGGCGAGAAAACGGCUCUUGGCCCGGAUGUAGUACGGGAGGCGAAGGAGAAAGUUCGCCUUGCCCGUCAACGGUUGGCGACGGCGCAAUCUCGGCAAAAGAGCUAUGCCGACAAGCGAAGGAAAGACUUAGAAUUCGCAGUUGGAGACCGCGUAUUUUUGAGAGUGUCGCCGAUGCGUGGAGUAAAGCGAUUUGGGGUCCGCGGGAAGCUAAGCCCCCGUUAUGUUGGACCAUUCGAGAUAUUACAGCGUGUGGGUGCGGUAGCGUUCAAGCUCGCACUACCACCGAGACUCGCGGGAGUUCACAAUGUGUUUCAUGUGUCAAACCUCCGAAAAUAUAUUCGAAACUCGACACAUGUAUUAGAGUAUGAACCCGUGGAGUUACGUGAGGAUAUGUCUUAUGAGGAGUACCCGGUGUGCAUCCUCAAUAGAGAAGAAAGAAAGCUGCGGAGUCGCAGAAUUCCUUAUGUAAAGGUUCAGUGGAGCAACCAUGCUGUGCGAGAAGCUACUUGGGAGCUCGAAGAGACCAUGCGAUGAGAGUACUCGGAUUUAUUUGAGUGGACAAGUUAAGGUAUGCGUAAUUUCGCGGACGAAAUUAUUUUAAGGGGUGAAGGAUGUAAUAUACCGAGAAUUCGGAAAAUAAAUAUCGAACUUUAGUCAAAUUAACCAAAGUGCGAGGUUGGUACCCUUCGGAAAGUCCGAAUAUGUUAAAAUAAGUAAAAGUACAUUGUGGGAGGUUUUCGAGAGCUAAAGAAUAAAAAAUCUGCAAACUGCAGUUUUUGAGCUCUCAGGGACCGGUCCCUGGUGGGAGAGAUCGGUCCCCGAACGCAUGAGAAAUGAGAAAGCUGAAAAAUUGGCUAAGUCCUAGAAAACUAACUCUUGGGAACCGGUCCCUGCGGGGGGAGACCGGUCCUCGAGAGACCGGUCCCUCUGGGAGAGACCAGUUGCCUCGGGCGAAAGCCCCGCUGAACUCCGGGAGAGCUCUCUGGGACCGGUCCCAAGUCGGGGAGACCGGUCCCCGAACACGAAAACCGCCCAGUUUAGGCAGUUUAAUAAAGUGAAAAGUGAGGGGCCUAUUUGCAUUUUGCAUCAAUUGGGCUAUGUUUACGGCUGAGAGGGCCCUUCCCCUCAUUUCUCUCACCCUCUCACACUCUUCUCUCUCUUUCUCUCUCUAAACAUAAGGAGGAGAAGACAAAGAAGAAAGGAAAGAAAAGAAGGAAGAAAGGAAAGGAAGGGAAAGGAAGAAGAAGGAGAAGGAGUAGAAGGUGAAGAAAAAGCUAAGGAGUAGAGCCACUUCCUCUUCUUCCCCUUUGGAGCAACAAAGGAGAGCUUACAAGGUAAACUUUCAUCUCCUCUCAUGGUAGAACUUAAGCUAGGGUUUCGAUUUCUCUAAAGAUGGUUUUCAUGAGAUCCCUAGAGUAUUUGGAGUUAUCUUUUGCUUCUUCUUGAGAUCAAAACCCUAGUUUUGACGUGGGAUGAGCUAGGGCACCCAAAUUUGGGGCUUUUGCUCGGGAGGAUUUCAAAGUGAAAUUAACCCUCGAGAAACCUAAUUGGGGGUAUUUCCGACGCAUUGGUGCGCUCGGUUUAACGUUACGAAAAGCCUAUGUAAAGUUAUGAGCAAAAUGGCCUAAUAUGGCUUCGUUUUGCCGCAGGUGACGAACUAGAAGUCUAAAAAUCCCAAGAAAAUUAUUGUAGCAUCCUAGUACGCCUACGAGGUGGGUGGUGCUAUCCAAACUUAUUGGAAUUCCCUCUAUGCCUAAUGUGUCAUUCAAUUGAGCAUAUAUUUAUAUUGUUGCAUGCAUUAUAGGAUAGAUGUGAUGUUAUGUAUGGGAAUGUUGCAUGAUGUGAGUACACGUGCUAUUCGAAAUGUUUGAGAACCUAUUCAACCCUAUAUGUAUGCAUGAGAUACAAAGUGAGCGCCCAAUGAGAUGAAAGAACAAAGUGACACAAUAAAUCAUAGAUCGAGUGGCAUCCGACAAUGUAAAGUAAAGUGACACUAGAGUUAGUGUGUGUGGCAUCAAAGAGAAAUGUGACGCAAAGAACAAUGAUAAUGAUUAGAGACAAGUAAAGAAAAUGAAAGUGGCAUAAAGAAUGAGUAAAGUUAAAGAACAAUGAUUGCUAGAGUUAGCAAAAUAAAGUUAUGUAAAGAACACUAGAGUUAGUGUAAAGACAAUGAUUGAACUAUAUAUCCUUAGAGUUAAGGAUCGAUCAUACUUGCUAUGAGUUCCGUGCUCGAGGGCGGUCGCUCCCCCUCGAGCGAUGCACUCCGGAGUUUUGCAUCACGGGUUGGAGUUAACCCGAGGACGGUCUUAGCGGGAGGCAGCUGAGGGCCCGCGAUGAUGGACUUAAUGUGGGCAAGUUAAUGUGGCGAAACCCNNNNNNNNNNNNNNNNNNNNNNNNNNNNNNNNNNNNNNNNNNNNNNNNNNNNNNNNNNNNNNNNNNNNNNNNNNNNNNNNNNNNNNNNNNNNNNNNNNNNNNNNNNNNNNNNNNNNNNNNNNNNNNNNNNNNNNNNNNNNNNNNNNNNNNNNNNNNNNNNNNNNNNNNNNNNNNNNNNNNNNNNNNNNNNNNNNNNNNNNNNNNNNNNNNNNNNNNNNNNNNNNNNNNNNNNNNNNNNNNNNNNNNNNNNNNNNNNNNNNNNCCACAGAAGAAUUUGUGACUUGAAGAUUGCACCUCCUUAUAUAAAUCUCUGUCGAAGCCACACAAGCAACGCAAUCGGCCAUAUCCUUGUCAUCCACUGGGACCAUCGAUGCGGCAAAACUCCGCCUUCAAUAUCCGUCACAUCGAGCGUCCCUUGCCACAACUUCCUGAACCUGUCCUGAAGCUUUCUCUGUUCACAGGGAAAAGUAAGUAGAAAAUACCAAUCCCCGAAACUCAUCCAACCAUAGGAGAAAGACUAGGCGAUCGAUUCUGUCGAAUGCCUUUCCACCACACCUUUGCCGACAAUUUUAAACAGUGCAGCGCGCUAGGGCACCUUGUCUUGCUCCAAGGUGUACAGCUCCUCAAAGAGCGUUUCCAUAGAGUUCAUCCACGUCUCCAAUCCAUGGAUCGACAUUCUCUCCAUCAAAGACAGGCGGAUUGUCAUGCCCCGGACAUGAUACCAAUUUGGGCCGGCCGGCACGUCAACAGACGCCGAACGGACAGAGUUUCCCCUGUCCGCCCAAGGCUCACCACCUAUAAAUUUUCAAGUAGAGAAAAGCUCUAGCGGAAAUAUAGCAAAUACGGCUUACACGAGGGUAAGCAAUAGCCAUGAGUGAAAGAAAGGAAAGUAAACAACUACACAAUACUAUGAUUCAACUUUGAAUCACAUACAUUGCAUUUAACCUUCAUAUUCACAUUCUUUACAUUGCUUGCAUCAUUUCUUUACAUCACAUUUGCCCAAAAUAAACAUUACAUUCUUUUCUUUACUUUAAACAUCCUCAAGUGACAAAAGAAUGACGAUAGGGUAGCUACUAUCAAAAAUGAAAUAACCCAACUCUGGUGGCCUCUGACUACGGUGCGAUACCUUUACCACUGUCACGCCCCAGGACCGGCAGUGGCCCUCCGGUAGCGUGCCCAGACCCGCCAUAUGUCAACACAUAAUAAGGCGUCUAUAAUAAAAGCGGAAGUAAAGCAAGAGAUAGAACAAAUAGGAUAAGUAGCAACUAAUGAUAUCAGAGCGAUAAGUUCUAUCAUCUACACCAAAGUAAAGAUAAAGCUAGACAAUAAAAGUAGCCAUAAGUAUAGUACAAGUACUAUCUCCUCAAAAAGAAUACAAAGAUCCAAAAGAAGGGUGGUCUCUAUACAUAUACAGUACAACUCACAAUCUCUCCCAAAAUAAAACCACGAGAGGUAGACCACACUAUUAAAUCGUCCUCGAAGGAAGCUAGCUCGAAGCAACUCCCUUCCCGCAGUCCCUAGCCUCUCCCGGCGUGGAAGGCUCUGAAAGAAAAUAUAAAAAGAGGGCGUGAAAACUAUAAUUUAUAGUUCCCAGUGGCAAUUACUGACCUCAAGCUCAAUGCACCACUAGGCCUCAAAAGAGAAGGGGUAAGUCCAAGAUAGUAAUAACAAUAAAUAAAUUGCAAAUUGUGAAAGCAUAAAUAAAAUUGCUAAAUUACAACUUUGCAAUGGAUCUGGCAUUUAUAUGAUGCACUUUUAUCUUGUCAUGACUAGCAUGUCCUACAUAUUCGCGAGUACUUUCAAGAUUUACCCUCUGUACUAUGAUGGUUUAUACUUUAAAUGGCGACAUUAUAUAAUAUGAAUGUAAUGGCAACAUCUCCUAGCAUACUACAUGUAUAUAUGCAUACUCAUGUGUCCAACACUAUGCUAGAAGCAAACCAAGGUAAUCCAACUACUACUCUCUAUCUAGUAGUGAUUGUCAACACACUCAAACACUGUGUCGGUUCCAUUUCCAAUUAGGGACCUACCCAAGUAGUCCACUUGUGCCGUCUAAGUGCCUGUGUAGCCCAAACAUCCCUAUUCUUGGAAUGUGUCUGUCCGACUCGACCCCGUAGGCUUCUCAUACGCACGAGCGAACAUAAGUCGCAUAGGCUAACUCUGGAGUGCCGGCUUGUGGGGAGCGACCCACACAAGCAUGUGCGAAUGAGCACAAAUGGCAAACAAGCAAGGUCACAUCUCAAAUACUCUAUUCACACUGUCUCUAAACAUGGCAAGGUCACUAGCAUCCAAGGAUCUAGCCAUGUCUCUAAGUGAUGUCCCAACACUCACUUGCUUAGUGCCUCUUUAUGACACUUAAGCAUCACACUGAUCAGCCAAUUCUUUUCUAUGUUUCAUUUAAACAUUAAUACCAAUGAUUACUAUAGCCCGGCCCAAUGCCUCUUUAUGACAUUGACAAAAUCCCAAAUAAUCUAAGUCCCCAAGACUCUCUAGGCUUCUAAAGUCCCUAAUGUCACAAUUGGCAUAAAGGUAAAAUGCAUAAAAGCAAUGUUCGUUUUCAAAUAAGGAUCUUAGUUUCAAAGCUCAAUCAAAAUGCUAUAUCACUCAUGCAUACUCAUCACUACAUAGAGGCCAAAAUUUUACUAUGUGUAACAUAGGCACUUUAAGAAUUCUAAAUUCAUAAUAAAUACAUAUAACAAGAAUAUGCAUGCUUUUUCAUUUAUAUAACACAUAAAUCAACAUCAAUGAGAUUUCCCAUUGUGUGGCUAGGUCAAACCCACCGAACCGUCGCGUGCUCCUCGAUUCGGCCGAACGAAGUUGUCCACAAGUCCCAAAUACCCUAAAAGUAUCGAGCGAAGAGAUAUACGAGCAUUACGAUCAACUAUAAGAUCAAACUUUAACAAACAUACAAAAGGGCUAAAACUCACCUAAUGUAGGAAAUCUCUCUCAAGCUCCAAAAGAGAGGUAAAUUCCUUCCAAUCCAAGCCCAAGGAAGUUCUAAUCCAAUCAAUCUAGCCUCAAAAGCCCUAGAUCAAAAAGCCCAAAAAUCAACCCUAAUAUCCAUUCUAGGUUCCAUAGGUAAAACUACCAAAUCAAGGAUCAAAGUAGAAUCCAAGUACUAACCUCCCAAGAUGCCUCCAAACAAGCUCCAAAUCUUCUAGGUUGAAGAUUGGUCCACCACCAAGCUCUACAAGCAAGCUCCAGCAAGGGUGAAAGGAGAGAAAGGGGUUGAGCUCAAGUCCUCAAGCAAGCUCCUCUUCUUCUUCUCCUCCUUCUUCUCCUUCUUUUCUCUCUACAGAAGGUGUAGGGAGAGAGAAUGAGAAAAUGAGAGUGGAGAGAGGAGGAAAUGGCUAAUAAGUCCCAUCUAGUAUAACAAAAACGCGGAGAGCGCCCCUCAAAAACUCAAAUUUACAUCAGCCCGAACUAGGCAGUUUUUCGCCCAAGAGACCGUCUCUCCCAGCAGGACCGGUCUCUCGCUGGCGAACCCGAAAAAUCAACGUUCGGGAACCGGUCUCUCCUGCGCGGGACCGGUCUCAUCACUGCGAAGACGCGCUCGGACCGGUCUCGCCUGUCAGGGGACCGGUUGCCUCGAGGCCGCCGCAACACUGCUCACUGGGGGAACCGGUCUCUCCUUUCAGGGACCGGUCCCCGAGUAAAAAACUCGAAAUACAUCCAAACACUCAAACCUCACAAUUUGCAAAGGUCCAGUGUGUUACAACCACGGUCGCCGCACGGCUCGCUCGUCCCAGCUCUGUAGAAUAUGGGGUCAGAACUACAACAAACUUUCAGUGGCUUCGGCCCGCCAAUCUCACCGACUUUCCCAAUAUGAAUAACUCAGACAUAAUAGAAAGGAUAAGCAGAAUAGUAAUCAAUUAUAAUUAUGAUGCUAAUAUGCCUGAACAAUAAAGCAAGAAAUAUGCUCAACGUAAAUCAUGCAAGUAUUGCAAGUUCUUUGCUCCUCACUCUUUAUUCUUUAAUCUUUGUUCUUUGUUUUUGUUCUUUAAUCUCACGCUAACACCGCGUGGUAAAGGUAUCGCACCGUAGUCAGAGGCCACCAGAGUUGGGUUAUUUCAUAUUUUGAUAGUAGCUACCCUAUCGUCAUCUUUUGUACUUGAGGAUGUUUAAAGUAAAGAAAAAGAAUGUAAUGUUUAUUUUGGGCAAAUGUGAUGUAAAAGAAAUGAUGCAAGCAAUGUAAAGAAUCGUGAAUAUGAAGGUUAAAUGCAAUGUAUGUGAUCCAAAGUUGAAUCAUAGUACUUGUGUAGUUGUUUACUUUCCUUUCUUUCACUCAUGGCUAUUGCUUACCCUCGUGUAAGCCGUAUUUGUAUAUUUCCGCUAGAGCUUUUCUCUACUUGAAAAUUUAUAGGUGGUGAGCCUUGGGCGGACAGGGGAAACUCUGUCCGUUCGGCGUCUGUUUGACGUGCCCGGGCCGGCCCAAAUUGGUAUCAGUCCCGGG